UGAAUACGAGACGCUACGGCGUCGAAGCAGUCGAUGUCAUACUUCCAAGAAAAGCUUGCAAUGUCAUAAACAAAUAAUGCCUGUACCAUAACCGACACAGGUGGGUAGGUAGAGUAUACUAAGGGGCGCGAGAUAACUCUCUCUAAGGAACUCGGCAAAAUGACUCCGUAACUUCGGGAGAAGGAGUGCCUUAUUUAUAAGGUUGCAAUAACAAGAUCCAAGCAACUGUUUAUCAAAAACACAGGUCUCCGCUAAGUCGUAAGACGAUGUAUGGGGGCUGACGCCUGCCCAGUGCCAGAAGGUUAAAGAAGUUGGUUAGCAUCCGCGAAGCUGAUAACUGAAGCCCUGGUGAACGGCGGCCGUAACGAUAACGUCCUAAGGUAGCGAAAUUCCUUGUCGGGUAAGUUCCGACCCGCACGAAAGGCGUAAUGAUUUGGAUACUGUCUCGGAGAGGGACUCGGUGAAAUAGACUUGUCUGUGAAGAUGCGGACUACCUGCACCUGGACAGAAAGACCCUAUGAAGCUUUACUGUAACUUGAAAUUGAAAUUGGACUUUAUUUGCGCAGUAUAGGUGGGAGGCGUUGAGAAUAUUCUUGCGGGAAUAUUGGAGCCAUCAGUGAGAUACCACUCUUGUAAUGUUAGAUUUCUAACUUUGCAUCAUUAUCUGGUCAAAGAACAGUUUCAGGCGGGCAGUUUGACUGGGGCGGUCGCCUCCCAAACGGUAACGGAGGCGUACAAAGGUUUCCUCUGAACGGGUAGAAAUCGUAUCUAGAGUGUAAAGGCAUAAGGAAGCUUGACUGUGAGACCUACAAGUCGAGCAGGGACGAAAGUCGGUCUUAGUGAUCUGACGGUGCUGAGUGGAAAGGCCGUCACUCAACGGAUAAAAGUUACUCUAGGAUAACAGGCUGAUCUCCCCCAAGAGUUCACAUCGACGGGGAGGUUUGGCACCUCGAUGUCGGCUCAUCGCAUCCUGGGGCGGUAGUACGUCCCAAGGGUUGGGCUGUUCGCCCAUGAAAGCGGUACGCGAGCUGGGUUCAGAACGUCGUGAGACAGUUCGGUCCAUAUCCGGUGUAGGCGUUAGAAUAUUGAGAGGAGCCUUCUUUAGUACGAGAGGACCGAGAAGGACAUACCUCUGGUGUACCAGUUAUCGUGCCAACGGUAAACGCUGGGUAGCUAUGUAUGGAGAGGAUAACCGCUGAAAGCAUCUAAGUGGGAAGCCCACCUCAAGAUAAGUAUUCU
rnacentral:rRNA from 1 species